rnacentral:lncRNA from 1 species
UGUCAGAGUUGGCCCCUGCAUGUUGAGAGCACCUGAUAUUGUCUCCAUUGAAUUCAGCCCAUGAUGCAGGAGUUGAAGCACUCAGCAGGGAUUUCAAACAACUUGCAGCCUGAGCCCCUGGCUUCAAAACUACUGGCGUGGAACUGCAAUUUAUUGAUCUGGGUCUGUUGAAGCAGAAGGCACUUGCUCUGCUCCUGGGUGCUGCAGGUAUGUCUCAGACUGCCAAAGGCUUUCAGGAAAACUUUAAUGAAUAAUGUUGGGUUUUUUUUGGAUAAUAGAUGGUGAAAAAGGAAAAGGUCUGCAAAAUUUAUCCACAUGAAUCUGCUUUUUACUAGAGCUGACAAGAAUAAUUUUAUUCAUGGCUAAUCCUAAAAGUAGGUAGUGGUACUAGAGUCAGCAGAAUGCUUGCCAAGUUUCCUUUGGAUGUGCCCUCAUUUCAGUAGUGAAUGAGGUGAUCUUUUAAUGAAAAACAGAACACAAGUAAGCAAAUAAUACAGAUUAUUUUCUCCUCCUUCCAACAAGACAGAGUCGUUAUCAUUUGAGAUUGUGAAGUGUUGAGGGAUAGAGUAUGGGUAAAUGAAGGUGGUAUAGAAGGUAAUCUUAUCCCCCAAUGAGUUGCAGCUGGACCAAUUACUAAAGAUUAGAAGCAGGCCUGAUCUUAACAGGCCACACCUGUAGGCAAUUAGAACAAGUGCUAUAAAAGAGUGGAUUGGUGGGAUCUGGAGUGAGAGGAUUGCUGCAAGGAUCAGGAGCAGUCAGUGCUUAGAGGAGCUGCCUGUGAGGAACAUUGAGGAAGUAUGGAGCUCUGGGGAUAUGAAAUCCUUGCACUAUAAUGAUGUUAGAACUCAUGCUAUCUAAGACAACAGUGAAGUGCAUUCACCGCUGGAUUCCUGCUGUGUUAGUGCUAAGGGAGCUGACAAGGCAUUAGCACAGAGACACUGCCCUCUAUUGCUAACUGCUCUGCUACUGCUCUUGCAUCGAUGACACCAAUGCAAAUCUAC